UUUAGAUACACUGGGAUGGCGCUUAGAAAUGCCUUCGAGUCAUCGAAGCCUGCAGGACACACGGAUUGGGUUGGUGGUGGUGGUGGUGGGGGAGUCGGUGGUGGUGGUGGCGGGGGAGUCGGUGGUGGGGGAGUUAGGGUGGGCAUGGGAGCAGGCUUUGGGACAGGUGUUGGUGGUGGCGGGGGAGUCGGUGGUGGUGGUGGCGGGGGAGUCGCUGGUGGGGGAGUUAGGGUGGACAUGGGAGCAGGCUUUGGGAUAGGUGUUGGUGCAGGCGUCGGGACCGGUGUCGGAG
rnacentral:lncRNA from 1 species